rnacentral:rRNA from 1 species
AUAUCACUAAGCGGAGGAAAAGAAAUUAACUAAGAUUGCCUCAGUAACGGCGAGUGAAGCGGCAAAAGCCCAAACUGGAAAUCUUCACACUGCGUGUGACGAAUUGUAAUCUACAGGUGGGAUACUCAACGAGCGGUGACGCAGAAGUGACCUAGAAUGGUCUGCCAGAGAGGGUGACAGCCCCGUAUGUGGUGCCAUCGCUUAACGAGCUGGGUUUCGAAGAGUCGGGUUGUUUAGUAUUGCAGCCCUAAGUGGGAGAUAAACUUCUUCUAAGGCUAAAUAUCUACGGGAGACCGAUAGCGCACAAGUA